UUCACUCUCCCCGCAAGAACCCUGGAACUUCCCUGUGCCGUGUCUCCAUUCUCGUCCUCAAUCUCAAUCUUUUUCUUAAUUUCUCCCUUUAUAAUGCCGACUUUUCCUUCUCUUUCCCUUCCAUUUCUCAACCCUUAGAAUCCUGACUACAAAUAUCACAAACCCUAGAAGAACUAAUCAUAUAAUCAAAUCUAAUCUAUCUAACCCCUCAAAUUUGGUAGAUAUUUUUUCAACCGCUUAUUUCAGUUGGGGCAAAAGAUCCGAUGGAGUAUGUAUUGUUUGGAGAUGGAUUUUUGUGAUCGGGUUGCUGAGGAGCUUGAAGAUAUAGAUGAGUACUCAGGCUAUGAGGGGACAUACCACAAGAGGUUAUCAUCGUAGGAAAUCAUUGGACUUGGACCUGAACAGCAUGCCACCAACUGAGAACCGAGAUCAAGGAGAAACAUCUCAACUGCGGCUUCAGGAUGCACAGGUUAAUCAACAACAGCCUGUACAGCCUGCAAUGAUCGACAUUGAGGCCAUUGAUGACGAUGUCAUUGAAUCAUCCGCCAGAGCUUUUGCUGAAGCUAAAAAUAAAUCCAGACGAAAUGCUAGGAAGAAUGUAGUUGACGUGGAUGCAGAAGAGCGGAGCAGGGUGUCAAAUAAUAACCGGAGCAAGCGUAGGAGAGAUGUGUCUAACAGACCGUCUGUAAAUUCAGAUUUAUUAAUCAAUUUGGAAGCGAGCAACAGUUCUAUGACAGACCAAGUUUUGUGUGCCACCACUGGAGUGGAAAUUCCCCCAAUGAGUUGCUGCUGAGCUCUUUCUCUCCUGGACCUUGGUUUAUCAGCUGAUUGGGUUCGGUAGCUUUUGUUUCUCCCCUUUGGAGAAGUUAAGUUAGUUUGUUUUAACAAUAAUUUAUUACCUCUUUCUCUCUCUCCUUCUAUGUGUGAGUGCUGCUGUUCUUUUGGUUGGUUUAUGUUCAAAGUUAGGGUUGUUCACAGGUAACAGACAAAUGAGAGAGGAAGAAUAGAAAUAAUUAAAAAAUGUAAGGUUGGGUUGGGCAGCCAUUUUCUCUGUAGGAAAAAUAGACUUUGAUCACUGUAUCCAUAAAACCAAUCGUUUGAUGUUGGUUUCAGUUGGUCAUCGCAGUUUUCGGUCCAACUUUGUUCUGUUGGUUAAUUCUUCAAUUUCUGGAACCAUCAUGGAUUGAUCUUUAUUUUCAGUGGUAGCAUCUUAUUAGCUGUUAUUGUUGAAAAUGUCAUUUUGUAAGGAUAAAUAAAGUAUAUGCUGAAAAUGGAAUUAUGUCUCUAGUGCUUAAUAUUGAGCCAACAUGUGAUUUCUGUGCUAUUGGCAGAAAGUGAAGCCUGCUCCACCGAAAGAGCCCAAAUUCAGUUGUCCAAUAUGCAUGGGUCCGUUAGUAGAAGAAACAUCAACAAAGUGUGGUCAUAUUUUCUGUAAGGCAUGCAUCAGGGCUGCAAUAGGCGUCCAGAGUAAAUGCCCAACAUGUAGGAAGAGAGUAACUGCCAAAGAACUGAUUAGAGUAUUCCUUCCUGGGACAAGCUUGGAGUGAGGCUUACGUCUCACACCGGAUUUUUUUUAAGACUUCGAAAGGAAACGGCAGAAGUUCUUUUGUAAGUAAGAAAAAAGCUAAUUUUUAGAUGGAAAUUUCCAGUGUAUUCUGCUGAUUGCCUGCAUUUUGAUGAUCUCAGAGUUGCAUUAGGAGGAAAUGCAGGAAAUUCUAAUUUCCUUAAUUGUUUUUUGUUGUCAACUUUGAUGAUUUUAUGAAGUUGUAAACAAACUGACAACGAAAUCCGGCAGUAAUGCAAUGAGUUUACAUAAUUAUUAAAUUAGAAAGUUGCUUUUGUUGGUA